rnacentral:tRNA from 1 species
AGUAAACUGCCCUACGGGCCUUGUGACGCGCAGAGUGGCUUUGUUGUUUUGGUCCUGGGUUCUCGGCCUUUCAAGUCUCACUGAUAAGUGGUCCGUCCUCGAUAACUU